GUUGUAACCAUUUUUUCCUCUUCAGACUGUCCAGGAUAUAGUCCGGACCCUGCGGCAAGGAGGGAACACGGAUGAUGCAGAUGAAGCUGGAGGAUCUGAAAUCGUGCAAAAGGAGAGCUGGUGUACCACAGCCUGCAGCUGGUGG